UACGUAGGGUGCAAGCGUUAAUCGGAAUUACUGGGCGUAAAGCGUGCGCAGGCGGUUUUGCAAGUCAGAUGUGAAAUCCCCGGGCUCAACCUGGGAACUGCAUUUGUGACUGCAUGGCUAGAGUACGGUAGAGGGGGAUGGAAUUCCGCGUGUAGCAGUGAAAUGCGUAGAUAUGCGGAGGAACACCGAUGGCGAAGGCAAUCCCCUGGGCCUGCACUGACGCUCAUGCACGAAAGCGUGGGGAGCAAACAGG
rnacentral:rRNA from 1 species